GUGGCAGGCUGUAGUCCUGCAACAUGGGUUUAAGUCCUGUUUCUAUCA
rnacentral:tRNA from 1 species